AAUAUUGGACAAUGGGGGCAACCCUGAUCCAGCAAUGCCGCGUGUGUGAAGAAGGCCUUCGGGUUGUAAAGCACUUUCAGUAGGGAAGAAGGACUUGAGCUUAAUACGCUCGAGUAUUGACGUUACCUACAGAAGAAGCACUGGCUAACUCUGUGCCAGCAGCCGCGGUAAUACAGAGAGUGCAAGCGUUAAUCGGAAUUACUGGGCGUAAAGCGCACGUAGGUGGAUACCUCAGUCGGAUGUGAAAGCCCCGGGCUUAACCUGGGAAUUGCACCCGAUACUGGGUAUCUAGAGUAUGGUAGAGGGAAGUGGAAUUUCCGGAGUAGCGGUGAAAUGCGUAGAUAUCGGAAAGAACACCAGUGGCGAAGGCGGCUUCCUGGACCAAUACUGACACUGAGGUGCGAAAGCGUGGGGAGCAAACAGGAUUAGAGACCCUGGUAGUCCACGCCGUC
rnacentral:rRNA from 1 species